rnacentral:misc_RNA from 1 species
GAAUCUUAAAGGAAAUUGUCUACAAAUAGUUGCAUGUGUUGGAAUUUUCUUUGUUUUGUGGAAGUGAAAGCUGGUUUUUUACUUCUCUUUGAUGUAGUUUAUAUACACCAUGAUUGUUUGAAACAAUUAUGGUAAAACUGGGCCCAGUACUUAAUCAGAUUAAUUGUAAAAAUGUUUAAUUGUAAAAAUGUUUCCUGAAUUGUUGUUGUACAGUAUAAUGGUCUAUUUAUUAAUUCUCAUUUCUAGUAUCAAUACAUGAGAAAUUACGUCAAGAUUAGAGAUUAUUUGUAUAAAGCAUACCAAUGAAAACUUGUAUAUACAUUCAGUUAAGAGUAUAUAUGCUAGGACUUGAUUGAUUAUUGUGAAAGAUGAAAGGUUGUGCAGAGUGAAUGAAAUCCUUGUUUGUAUCCUGUGAUGUUGAGUAAAAAUUAAUACAUGUACUUGUGAUUGAAAAAUUAUUAUAAUGGUUAUAGUGUGAUUUCAUAGGCACUUUAUAUUUUAAACAUUCCUAUUGUGUACGUUGUAAAUACAUUCGUCAACACACAUGUAGAUAUUUUAGAAAAUGUUUAAAAUAUCAGUGACUGUGCAAUGAACACUACACGAGCCAUUGCUAUUCCUAGUCGCAACAAGCAGGCGUUCACUGCUCCCAUUGUUAGUUGAUUUUAUAAGAGGCUGACCGUCUCCCUGUAUUUUUAUUCUGAUCUUGCUGACACAGAUAUGUAUAAAUCCAUCAUAAAAAUGUCAAAAAUAUUCUUCAUUUAAAUUUCAUGUUAAAACAUUACACUUUUCUGUUCUGUCUUAAUGUGAUCAUUUAUAAUAUUGUUUUCAGUUUAUUUCAUUGCUAAACAUUGUAUUUAUUAUAGAUCUUUAUUUUUUUGUUGUACUUCUAUUUUAAAAUUAAACAAUACAA